GACGGAGGAUGCAAGUGUUAUCCGGAAUCACUGGGCGUAAAGCGUCUGUAGGUGGUCAAAUAAGUCAACUGUUAAAUCUUGAGGCUCAACCUCAAAAUCGCAGUCGAAAUUAUUCGACUAGAGUAUAGUAGGGGUAAAGGGAAUUUCCAGUGGAGCGGUGAAAUGCGUAGAGAUUGGAAAGAACACCGAUGGCGAAGGCACUUUACUGGGCUAUUACUAACACUGAGAGACGAAAGCUAGGGUAGCAAAUGGG
rnacentral:rRNA from 1 species